GUGGUACCAAGCCUCAGGCAGCAGCAGGCAGGGGCACGCCGGCCCGGGUUCAUGGCUGUGAUGGGCAGCACAUGAUGUCCCCCCACCAUGUGCUGUCUCAUAGCGCCUGUGCUCAGCAUGCCCCAUGGCCCAUGUGUUCCGGAGGGAAACGUUUACUUGCUCGGCGCUGCUGGUCACCAGGCCCUGCUGCAGCCUGAAGGCCUGCUCCUGGGGACAAGUCUGCGUGUGGUUGUUCCUCACCAGGCACCACUGGAUCUGGAGAUAAUGGAGGGUCCGCCAGACAGAGGCAGUGGCACGGCCAGAUGGGAGGAGAGACGGAAUCAGAGAGAGACAAAGAAGGGCAAGGGCAGAGACCCUUCCUUCUUGGGAGACUUUUCUCUUCUUUUAAGGAGAGCAACAUACACACGGCACUGCUGGUGUUGGGGAUUGAAUUGUGUCCUCCACAAAAGGCAUUUUCAGGUCUAAACCCCUGUUCCUGUGGCUGUGAACCCAUUUGUAUAUAGGACCUUUGAAGAUGUUACUGGUUAAAGUGUGCCCAAACUGCAUGAGGGUGGGCCUUAAUCCAGUAUGACUGAAGUCCUUAUAAGCAAAGG